rnacentral:rRNA from 1 species
GGUUAAUAUUCCUGUACUUGGUGUUACUGCGAAGGGGGGACGGAGAAGGCUAUGUUGGCCGGGCGACGGUUGUCCCGGUUUAAGCGUGUAGGCUGGUUUUCCAGGCAAAUCCGGAAAAUCAAGGCUGAGGCGUGAUGACGAGGCACUACGGUGCUGAAGCAACAAAUGCCCUGCUUCCAGGAAAAGCCUCUAAGCAUCAGGUAACAUCAAAUCGUACCCCAAACCGACACAGGUGGUCAGGUAGAGAAUACCAAGGCGCUUGAGAGAACUCGGGUGAAGGAACUAGGCAAAAUGGUGCCGUAACUUCGGGAGAAGGCACGCUGACACGUAGGUGAAGUGAUUUACUCAUGGAGCUGAAGUCAGUCGAAGAUACCAGCUGGCUGCAACUGUUUAUUAAAAACACAGCACUGUGCAAACACGAAAGUGGACGUAUACGGUGUGACGCCUGCCCGGUGCCGGAAGGUUAAUUGAUGGGGUCAGCGCAAGCGAAGCUCCUGAUCGAAGCCCCGGUAAACGGCGGCCGUAACUAUAACGGUCCUAAGGUAGCGAAAUUCCUUGUCGGGUAAGUUCCGACCUGCACGAAUGGCGUAAUGAUGGCCAGGCUGUCUCCACCCGAGACUCAGUGAAAUUGAACUCGCUGUGAAGAUGCAGUGUACCCGCGGCAAGACGGAAAGACCCCGUGAACCUUUACUAUAGCUUGACACUGAACAUUGAGCCUUGAUGUGUAGGAUAGGUGGGAGGCUUUGAAGUGUGGACGCCAGUCUGCAUGGAGCCGACCUUGAAAUACCACCCUUUAAUGUUUGAUGUUCUAACGUGGACCCGUAAUCCGGGUUGCGGACAGUGUCUGGUGGGUAGUUUGACUGGGGCGGUCUCCUCCUAAAGAGUAACGGAGGAGCACGAAGGUUGGCUAAUCCUGGUCGGACAUCAGGAGGUUAGUGCAAUGGCAUAAGCCAGCUUGACUGCGAGCGUGACGGCGCGAGCAGGUGCGAAAGCAGGUCAUAGUGAUCCGGUGGUUCUGAAUGGAAGGGCCAUCGCUCAACGGAUAAAAGGUACUCCGGGGAUAACAGGCUGAUACCGCCCAAGAGUUCAUAUCGACGGCGGUGUUUGGCACCUCGAUGUCGGCUCAUCACAUCCUGGGGCUGAAGUAGGUCCCAAGGGUAUGGCUGUUCGCCAUUUAAAGUGGUACGCGAGCUGGGUUUAGAACGUCGUGAGACAGUUCGGUCCCUAUCUGCCGUGGGCGCUGGAGAACUGAGGGGGGCUGCUCCUAGUACGAGAGGACCGGAGUGGACGCAUCACUGGUGUUCGGGUUGUCAUGCCAAUGGCACUGCCCGGUAGCUAAAUGCGGAAGAGAUAAGUGCUGAAAGCAUCUAAGCACGAAACUUGCCCCGA